AGAGUUUGAUCCUGGCUCAGGAUGAACGCUAGCGGCAGGCUUAACACAUGCAAGUCGAGGGGACAGGGGAUUUCGGUUCUGCUGACGACCGGCGCACGGGUGAGUAACGCGUAUACAACCUACCCAUAUCAGGGAGAUAGCCCGGAGAAAUCCGGAUUAAUACCCCAUAAUAUUUACGAGAGGCAUCUCUUGUAUCUUAAACCUUCGGGGGAUAUGGAUGGGUAUGCGUGCCAUUAGUUAGAUGGUGAGGUAACGGCUCACCAUGACGACGAUGAUGGCUACGGGGUCUUAAAGGAUGGUCCCGCACACUGGUACUGAGACACGGACCAGACUCCUACGGGAGGCAGCAGUGAGGAAUAUUGGUCAAUGGGCGCAAGCCUGAACCAGCCAUGCCGCGUGAAGGAUGACGGCCCUACGGGUUGUAAACUUCUUUUAUACAGGAAGAAAAUGCCUUACGUGUAAGGUACUGACGGUACCGUAUGAAUAAGCAUCGGCUAACUCCGUGCCAGCAGCCGCGGUAAUACGGAGGAUGCAAGCGUUAUCCGGAUUUAUUAGGUUUAAAGGGUGCGUAGGCUGAAAAUUAAGUCAGUGGUGAAAUCUUGUAGCUUAACUACAAAACUGCCAUUGAUACUGGUUUUCUUGAGUAUAGUUGAGGUAGGCGGAAUGUGUAGUGUAGCGGUGAAAUGCAUAGAUAUUACACAGAACACCAAUUGCGAAGGCAGCUUACUAAACUAUAACUGACGCUGAUGCACGAAAGCGUGGGUAGCGAACAGGAUUAGAUACCCUGGUAGUCCACGCCGUAAACGAUGAUUACUCGUUGCAUGCAAUACACCGUAUGUGACUUAGCGAAAGCAUUAAGUAAUCCACCUGGGGAGUACGUUGGCAACAAUGAAACUCAAAGGAAUUGACGGGGGCCCGCACAAGCGGAGGAACAUGUGGUUUAAUUCGAUGAUACGCGAGGAACCUUACCUGGACUUAAAUGUAGCGUGACUUUCCCUGAAAGGGGAUUUCUCUUCGGAGCACAAGUUACAAGGUGCUGCAUGGCUGUCGUCAGCUCGUGCCGUGAGGUGUCGGGUUAAGUCCCAUAACGAGCGCAACCCCUAUUGUUAGUUGCUAACAGGUCAAGCUGAGGACUCUAAUGAGACUGCCACCGUAAGGCGUGAGGAAGGUGGGGAUGACGUCAAGUCAGCACGGCCCUUACGUCCAGGGCUACACACGUGUUACAAUGGUAAGUACAAAGGGCAGCUACCUGGUGACAGGAUGCUAAUCUCAAAAACUUAUCUCAGUUCGGAUCGAAGUCUGCAACUCGACUUCGUGAAGUUGGAUUCGCUAGUAAUCGUAUAUCAGCAAUGAUACGGUGAAUACGUUCCCGGGCCUUGUACACACCGCCCGUCAAGCCAUGGAAGUUGGGGGUGCCUAAAGUCGAUAACCGCAAGGAUCGGCCUAAGGUAAAACUGGUGACUGGGGCUAAGUCGUAACAAGGUAACC
rnacentral:rRNA from 1 species